rnacentral:rRNA from 1 species
CAUUCCAUACAACAAUACAUCUGAACUACCAAAAGUUAAACAAGAAACAAGGAUUAGAUACCCUUCUAUCCUAGACCUAAACUAAUCAAGAAGUAAUAUUAAAUAAAAACUUAAUCAGAAUGGCAGUAAGAAAUCCACCGGAGAAGGCUGUACCAUAAUCGACAAUCCUCGCUAACUACCCCCUAACCUAACAUUUUAUAUAUCGCCAUUGAAAUCUUACUUAAGGUAGAAUUAAUCUAAGAUCUAAACUCAGUCAACAGGUCAAGAUAUAAAUCAUGGUUAGGUGAGAUAUUGCCUGCAAAUAUCAACAAUUAAUUAAACUAACCAUUAUCCAACAGUUUAAAUUAGGAUCCGACUGUAACCAUGUCUACUUAUAACAUUAUGACCUGCCAAAUUCCUUAUGCA